rnacentral:rRNA from 1 species
ACGGGAGGCGCAGUGAGGAAUAUUGGCCAAUGGACGGAAGUCUGAACCAGCCAAGUAGCGUGAGGGAUGACGGCCCUAUGGGUUGUAAACCUCUUUUGUGAGGGAAUAAAGUGCGCCACGUGUGGUGUAUUGCAUGUACCUUACGAAUAAGGAUCGGCUAACUCCGUGCCAGCAGCCGCGGUAAUACGGAGGAUCCGAGCGUUAUCCGGAUUUAUUGGGUUUAAAGGGAGCGUAGGCGGAAGGUCAAGUCAGCUGUGAAAUGUAGUCGCUCAACGUCUGCACUGCAGUUGAAACUGGCCUCCUUGAGUGCGUAAGAGGCAGGUGGAAUUCGUCGUGUAGCGGUGAAAUGCUUAGAUAUGACGAAGAACUCCGAUUGCGAAGGCAGCUUGCUGGGCCGCAACUGACGCUGAAGCUCGAAGGUGCGGGUAUCAAACAGGAUUAGAUACCCUGGUA